AAUUCAAAAAGUCAAUGAUGGUAUAUUUAAAUGCCUCGGGAUGUAGUGUUCGAGACAAAUCGGUGCAAGCAGCCGUAUGGUUACAUUGUAUGGGGAAGGAAACCGUCGAGUUACUGGAAACAUUAGAAAUAACAGACGUAAUUAUGAGUAUUUUAUUCCGAAGACCAAUGUGAGUGUAGAAAGACAUAAGUUUAAUUCAAGAAUGCAGCUUAGUAGGGAAACAUUCGAUAUGUUUUUGAGUGAAUUGCGGAAAAUCGCUGCCAAUUGUAAUUUUGGAAACCUAAAGGAUAAACUGAUUCGAGACCGAAUUGUUUGCGCAGUUAAUGAUAAAAGAGUAAAGGACAGACUUCUCAGGGAAAGUGAUUUAACUCUGAAGAAAGCAAUCGACAUUUGUCAAGCAGCAGAGCUGACAAAUUCAAAUAUAUCGGAAUUGCUACAUAAAAAUCAAAUUGGGGAUGUGGCCGCUAUCAACAAGAAGUCAACUUCAGAUUUUGAAGCACGUGGACAUAAACAGUGGAGAGACGGCAGCGGUGUCAGCAAUUGGAAUCGUGGGAACAAGAAAUGUACGGCCACCAGUUCGACACCUGCAUAUCAACAUUCGUACUAUUCACAGAAUUCUUGAAGGACGACAGACGUUAAAACAAAGGAGGAAAAAAACACAUCUGGCCUGUAUGGAAGAAACAACAAUGGGGUUCGAGGAAAUAGUUGCAGUCGUUGUGGUUUCAAGAAAUAUGACAGCGUCUGGCCCACAACACAAUAAACGAAUGGAAAAUACUUGCGAAUAACACCGAUAACAACGAUGCGACGACUAUAAUUUAUUGUCAAUGUCAGGUUGACACACAUUCGUCACACUUGAUGGUGUUGUCGAAGUGCACAUGUAAAUUAAUGUUCAAGGAUACCCUUACGUGCCAAUUUCAAGUUGUGAGAUACGACCGGUGCAAAUUAUGGUCGCAGCGCAACGUUGCGCGGGUGAUUAGCGCCCACUCUGCGACCGCGAGAUAAGACCAGUUUCAAGUCCAAAAACUGCUAUGUCGCAACGUGGUAGCAAACUGGUGCUGUGAUCAAAAUUUUGUGCGGAUCACUUUCGAAACAUCAAAUUUUUAAUUUGUGAUUUGCGUUUCUUCGUUCAAAUUCCAAACUGACACGGAAAAUCAAGCAACGAUUAGAAAAGGCCGGCGGGCGAAAAAUUUCACUUCCACAGAGGUCAAAAUUUUAAUAGGGGAAGUGGAAAACCGCCGAAAUAUUUUGUUUGGCCCAUUGAAAGGGCCAUCAUUAACGCAGUACCAUCGCGACAGGGCCUGGGAUCAGGUCCUGUCCCAUGUAAAUUCGGUGGCCACCUACGUCCGGUCUGUGGGAGAAUUAAAAAAAAUUUAAACACCUCAAGUCAAGUACCAAAUCGAGGGCUAAUACCCUACUUAGGGAAUCGAGAAAAACGGGUGGGGGCGAAAAUGAUGCGCCUCCCCUCAAUACAUUUGAGGAAAAAAUGCUUGCGUUUGUGGGAAAGGAAAGCGUUGAGGGAAUACGCGGAGGUAUCGACACCUUUACUUUCUGUAAAGUAAGGUAAAGUAUACGAACAAGAAAAACGCUAUAGUUUGACAUAUUUAUUAAUGCAUUUUUCAUUUUCAGACAAAUAUAGCUUUUCACAACUUACAAUUUUGUUUACAUGUAAUAAUCCGUAUUCACUCAAAUUACAGAGUCCCAUGAUCCAAUUCCGUCACGUCCUGUUACGCCGCCGCCACGUACUCUUUCCCCGCCGCAACAUCCUCUAACCCCGUCUCCACUACAUAUUACUCCGCCGCCACGGCAUCUUACCCCGCCGCCACGACAUCUAACCCCGCCGCCACCACUGCCUGCGCAGACUCCAGCCCUCCAAGUGCAAAAAAAAAUUCAAAGAAAUCUGCACUAGAUGAAAUAAAAAAACUUCUGCGUUGCAAGCAGAAAAAAAUGUACUUCUGGGGCAGCUGGUGGCGGAAAUACGAGAAUCUAGGAAGGAAAUUAAUAUGCUAGAAAAUUUAAAGAAAAGAGAGCUAGAGAUUAGAGAGGAAGAGUUGGCCAUUAAGAAAAAAAAAAUAAAAUGAACUUUUUUAACCAAAAAUUUUGUAGUUCAAGUUACUUCUAAAUUUUUUGUUUAUUUUAACUAUAACUGUUUGAACCACGUUUAAAGAUAUAAGUAUUUAAAAAAGAAAAACAUUUUUUAGUUUGAACAGACCAAUUUUAAAGUGGUUAUCAAGUGUAAAUCAAGUUUAAAUGUUAUCAAGUGUAAAUAGUUGCCAAUUUUGUUAUUUCAAUUAAAUAUGGAAAUACCUGGUGGGACCACGGAGAGGAUGGCAAGUUUCCACCGGGAUAGGAAAGGAACAAGGUUUGAAUUAAUUGGGAGGUCAUUAUCCCAAACACAAAUGUCCAAAGUCAUUUUCAAAAUUCGUUUCAAAAUUAUAAUCGGUACAAUGAUAACAAGAGGCCUCUAAAUAAUUACAAUACGAAUAAUUUCCAAACAAGAAAUAACUGUCCGCUUUCUACACCAAAAAAUAAAUUUGGGAGUUACAACAAUUCGUACUCCAAAGUAAAUUAUCAAAAGAAUGAACUGCAAAAUUUUGUCCCCGUCACCCGAACCGCGAACGGAAGACCGAGAUGUUAUCAUUGUAACAAAAUUGGUCAUUACGCAAGUGCCUGCUGGUCCAAACAACCACAAAACCCAAAAGAUUUGGGACGCCGCAAUUACAUCUUUGCGUCGUCCUAACUACGAAAGGGGUACACAAAUCCAAUAAUAACACGCAAAUAUUAACAUUAACAUUAUAUUAUAUUAUAUUAUUUUAUAUUAUUUUAUAUUAAUAUUAUAUUAAAUAUAAUUUUUUUAUAUUAUAUUAUAUUAUAUUAUGUAAUUAUUUUAUAUAGGUAUUAUAUGUAUUAUAUUUUCAACCAUUAAUACUUUAUAGACCCGAUAGUAACAGAGA